AUUUCUUUAGUAUAAAAAGUAUAUCUCACUUCCAAUGAGAAGGUUUGGUCCUCAAAAGAAAUA
rnacentral:tRNA from 1 species